rnacentral:rRNA from 1 species
UACGUAGGGGGCAAGCGUUGUCCGGAUUUAUUGGGCGUAAAGAGCUCGUAGGUGGUUCGGUAAGUCGGAUGUGAAAUCUCCAGGCUCAACCUGGAGGGGCCAUUCGAUACUGCCGUGACUAGAGUUCGGUAGGGGAGUGUGGAAUUCCUGGUGGAGCGGUGAAAUGCGCAGAUAUCAGGAGGAACACCCGUAGCGAAGGCGGCACUCUGGGCCGAUACUGACACUGAGGCACGAAAGCGUGGGGAGCAAACAGG